AUAGGAUAAAUUAAUAUUUAUUAAUUUAUAGGAUAAAUUAAUAUCACUAUAAAUUAAUAAAAUUCAUGGUCCCAACAUUAUUAAUUUAUAGAGUUUCUAUUGUAUAAAUUCCUAAAAUUGUGUAGGGACUUCUUUGAAAAUAAGGAAAAGUUCUGAAGCGAAUUUGGAAAUCUUCAAAACUUCAAUAAGUUGCGCAAUUGAAUUGGCGUCGGAUAUUGGUGUCGAGCGACACCAAGGGUGGUGUCGAUUGACACCUACGUGAAGUUUGGUCUUCGGAUUGCUUUUGUAGCAUAAGUUUUAUGUUUUUCUCCAGAAUACUCUAUAUUCUCCAAAUGCAUCCCAAACAUGUAAAGACCUGAAUAAACUAUACAAGACUCUAAAAAUAACAAAAGAACUCUAAAAACUAUACCUAAAUCAUAGUUAAAAUGAGUGAAAAUCGAGGUAUAUCAAUGUUCAAGAAACAACAUAACUCUAGCUUCU
rnacentral:sRNA from 1 species